ACUAGACUUUUAAAGUCUCUGAAGGGCCGUUGAAGACUACAACGUUGAUAGGCAAGAUGUGGAAGUGGUGUGAGCCAUUAAGCUAACUUGUACUAAUUACCCGUGAGGCUUAACCAUACAACGCCAAACGCGUUUUG
rnacentral:rRNA from 1 species